GCUUGUCUCAAAGAUUAAGCCAUGCAUGUCUCAGUACAAGCCAAAUUAAGGUGAAACCGCGAAAGGCUCAUUAAAUCAGUUAUGGUUCCUUAGAUCGUACCCACAAUUACUUGGAUAACUGUGGUAAUUCUAGAGCUAAUACAUGCAAACAGAGCUCCGACCGGAGACGGAAGGAGUGCUUUUAUUAGAUCAAAACCAAUCGGUGGCGGGCUCGUCAUCGUACAACUUGGUGACUCUGAAUAACUUUACGCUGAUCGCACGGUCAUCGCACCGGCGACGCAUCUUUCAAAUGUCUGCCUUAUCAACUGUCGAUGGUAGGUUCUGCGCCUACCAUGGUUGUAACGGGUAACGGGGAAUCAGGGUUCGAUUCCGGAGAGGGAGCCUGAGAAACGGCUACCACAUCCAAGGAAGGCAGCAGGCGCGCAAAUUACCCACUCCCGGCACGGGGAGGUAGUGACGAAAAAUAACGAUACGGGACUCAUCCGAGGCCCCGUAAUCGGAAUGAGUACACUCUAAACCCUUUAACGAGGAUCAAUUGGAGGGCAAGUCUGGUGCCAGCAGCCGCGGUA
rnacentral:rRNA from 12 species